AGUGGUAUCGCCAAGAAAAAUCUUGCCACAAAUCCAAUAAUAGAAAUUUCUUACAGCUUCAUUUUAGAGAAUUAGGUCACCGGAAAAGUUGGACAGGAGCCGUAUGAGUUUUUUUUUUUGGUGAUGCAAGAUUUAUGUACCACUCAAGCAUCUCUCUCAUCCAUAAAUAAAGUUCAAUAUAUUCCUUAAGAAGGCCAGC
rnacentral:lncRNA from 1 species